GAUGAACGCUGGCGGCGUGCCUAAUACAUGCAAGUCGAGCGAACAGACGAGGAGCUUGCUCCUCUGACGUUAGCGGCGGACGGGUGAGUAACACGUGGAUAACCUACCUAUAAGACUGGGAUAACUUCGGGAAACCGGAGCUAAUACCGGAUAACAUGUUGAACCGCAUGGUUCAACAGUGAAAGACGGUCUUGCUGUCACUUAUAGAUGGAUCCGCGCCGCAUUAGCUAGUUGGUAAGGUAACGGCUUACCAAGGCAACGAUGCGUAGCCGACCUGAGAGGGUGAUCGGCCACACUGGAACUGAGACACGGUCCAGACUCCUACGGGAGGAAGCAGUAGGGAAUCUUCCGCAAUGGGCGAAAGCCUGACGGAGCAACGCCGCGUGAGUGAAGAAGGUCUUCGGAUCGUAAAACUCUGUUAUUAGGGAAGAACAAAUGUGUAAGUAACUAUGCACGUCUUGACGGUACCUAAUCAGAAAGCCACGGCUAACUACGUG
rnacentral:rRNA from 1 species